UACGUAGGGUGCAAGCGUUGUCCGGAAUUAUUAGGCGUAAAGAGCUCGUAGGCGGUUUGUUGCGUCGGCUGUGAAAUCCCGAGGCUCAACCUCGGGUCUGCAGUCGAUACGAGCAAACUAGAGUGUUGCAGGGGAGACUGGAAUUCCUGGUGUAGCGGUGAAAUGCGCAGAUAUCAGGAGGAACACCGGUGGCGAAGGCGGGUCUCUGGGCAACAACUGACGCUGAGGAGCGAAAGCGUGGGGAGCGAACAGG
rnacentral:rRNA from 1 species